rnacentral:tRNA from 1 species
GUGGGUAUAGCUCUGUGGUAGAGCGUGUGCUUAGCAUGCACAAGAUCCUGGGUUCAAGCCCCAGUAUCUCCA